rnacentral:rRNA from 1 species
GACGAACGCUGGCGGUGUGCUUAACACAUGCAAGUCGAACGAUGAAGCCUAGCUUGCUAGGUGGAUUAGUGGCGAACGGGUGAGUAAUACGUGAGUAACCUACCUUUAACUCUGGGAUAAGCCUGGGAAACUGGGUCUAAUACCGGAUACGACCAAUCUCCGCAUGGGGUGUUGGUGGAAAGCGUUAUGUAGUGGUUAUAGAUGGGCUCACGGCCUAUCAGCUUGUUGGUGAGGUAACGGCUCACCAAGGCGACGACGGGUAGCCGGCCUGAGAGGGUGACCGGCCACACUGGGACUGAGACACGGCCCAGACUCCUACGGGAGGCAGCAGUGGGGAAUAUUGCACAAUGGGCGCAAGCCUGAUGCAGCGACGCCGCGUGAGGGAUGACGGCCUUCGGGUUGUAAACCUCUGUUAGCAGGGAAGAAGAGAAAUUGACGGUACCUGCAGAGAAAGCGCCGGCUAACUACGUG